GAUGAACGCUAGCGAUAGGCUUAACACAUGCAAGUCGAGGGGCAUCACAUGAGUAGCAAUACGAUGGUGGCGACCGGCGCACGGGUGAGUAACACGUAUGCAACCUGCCCAUAACUGGGGAAUAACCCGUCGAAAGGCGGACUAAUACCGCAUAACAAUGAUUGUCUGCAUGGACGAUUAUUUAAAGAUUUAUCGGUUAUGGAUGGGCAUGCGUUCCAUUAGAUAGUUGGUAGGGUAACAGCCUACCAAGUCUACGAUGGAUAGGGGUUCUGAGAGGAAGGUCCCCCACACUGGUACUGAGACACGGACCAGACUCCUACGGGAGGCAGCAGUGAGGAAUAUUGGUCAAUGGUCGAGAGACUGAACCAGCCAAAUCGCGUGAAGGAUGAAGGUAUUAUGUAUUGUAAACUUCUUUUGUCAGGGAAUAAAGUGCAUCACGUGUGAUGUUUUGUAUGUACCUGAAGAAUAAGGAUCGGCUAACUCCGUGCCAGCAGCCGCGGUAACAC
rnacentral:rRNA from 1 species